rnacentral:lncRNA from 1 species
CUUACUUAUGUCUAAAACACACCUGGAGAUAACAGAAUCUACAGGAAAAUCAUUUUUGAGAGCUGGGAGCUCCUGCCCCCAAAAGAGAGAGAAAUCCUUGGGCCCAUGUGCUCCAUCCAGGGAGAACAGUAGGUCCCGCUCUAUGAGCUGGACCAGAGUGAGCAGGCUGCAUACAGCUCUGAAACUUGUUUCAAAAGGAUCCUUUCAGCUGCAGAUCAUUAUGUCAUCCUCUCUGAAGAGCUGCCAUUCUGUUCCUGGCUAA